UGAUCCCGCAGGUUCGAACCUAAGCCGGUAGCACAGGAACCAAUUCCUGUACUAAUCGAAGUGACCAUCUAGCAAUGGUACCGAUGAUCGGAUAGGUCGAAUAGUCACAAUCGUAACACUCAGAACCUACGUGAAUAUGGUUACUAUAUAAUUCAUCCUUUUGACCUCUGUGUUUAGGAUGACUCAGGGUUAAACUGUCCACCUUGAUUAGAUC
rnacentral:lncRNA from 1 species